AUUGAACGCUGGCGGCAGGCCUAACACAUGCAAGUCGAGCGCGCGGCGGACGGGUGAGUAACGUCUGGGCAACUGCAUGAUGGAGGGGGAUAACUACUGGAAACGGUAGCUACUACCGCAUACCAUCAGAUGUGCCCAGAUGGGAUUAGCUAGUAGGUGGGGUAACGGCUAACCUAGGCGACGAUGCCUAGCGGGUCUGAGAGGAUGACCUGACACACUGGAACGGAGACACGGUCCAGACUCCUACGGGAGGAAGCAUUGGGUAAUAUGGCAAAAGGGGCGCAAGCCUGAUGCAGCCAUGCCGCGUGUAUGAAGAAGGCCUUCGGGUUGUAAAGUACUUUCAGCGGGGAGGCGUUACCCGCAGAAGAAGCGCCGGCUAACUCCGUGCCAGCCGCCGCGGUAAUGC
rnacentral:rRNA from 1 species